GACUAACGCUGGCGGCGUGCCUAAUACAUGCAAGUCGAACGGGAUUCUUUGAUCAGCUUGCUGAGAGAAGGAUCUAGUGGCGGACGGGUGAGUAACACGUGGGCAACCUGCCUCAUAGAGGGGAAUAGCCUUCCGAAAGGGAGAUUAAUACCGCAUAAGAUUGUAGUACCGCAUGAUACAGCAAUUAAAGGAGCAAUCCGCUAUGAGAUGGGCCCGCGGCGCAUUAGCUAGAUGGAGGGGUAACGGCCCACCAUGGCAAUGAUGUCUAGGGGUUCUGAGAGGAAGAUCCCCCACACUGGGACUGAGACACGGCCCAGACUCCUACGGGAGGCAGCAGUCGAGAAUAGUCUACAAUGGCCGGAAGGCUGAUAGUGCGACGCCGCGUGAACGAGGGAGCCCCUUGGGGUGUAAAGUUCUUUUCUAUACGAGCAGUGCUAUAUAUAUGGAUAGUAUAUAUAGAGGGAUAGUAGUAUAGGAAU
rnacentral:rRNA from 1 species